GGGCCCGUGGUCUAGCAUGGAUAGGACGCAGGCCUUCGGAGCCUGAUAUCCAGGGUUCGAAUCCCUGCGGGCCCG
rnacentral:tRNA from 1 species